rnacentral:rRNA from 1 species
UACGUAGGGUGCAAGCGUUGUCCGGAAUUAUUGGGCGUAAAGAGCUCGUAGGCGGUUCGUCACGUCGGCUGUGAAAUCCCGGGGCUCAACCCCGGAACUGCAUUCGAUACUGCUGCGCUAGAGUACUGGAGAGGAGAUUGGAAUUACGGUGUAGCAGUGAAAUGCGUAGAUAUCGUAAGGAAGACCAGUGGCGAAGGCGGACUCUCGGACAGUUACUGACACUGAGGCACGAAGGCCAGGGAGCAAACGGG